rnacentral:rRNA from 1 species
GUGGGGAAUAUUGCACAAUGGGCGAAAGCCUGAUGCAGCGACGCCGCGUGAGCGAUGAAGUAUUUCGGUACGUAAAGCUCUAUCAGCAGGGAAGAUAAUGACGGUACCUGACUAAGAAGCACCGGCUAAAUACGUGCCAGCAGCCGCGGUAAUACGUAUGGUGCAAGCGUAUCCGGAUUUACUGGGUGUAAAGGGAGCGUAGGCGGCGUGGUAAGUCAGAAGUGAAAGCCCGGGGCUCAACCCCGGGACUGCUUUUGAAACUAUCAUGCUAGAGUGUCGGAGAGGUAAGUGGAAUUCCUAGUGUAGCGGUGAAAUGCGUAGAUAUUAGGAGGAACACCAGUGGCGAAGGCGGCUUACUGGACGAUAACUGACGCUGAGGCUCGAAAGCGUGGGGAGCAAACAGGAUUAGAAACCCGGGUAGUCC